ensembl:lncRNA
CAGAUGCUGAUCCCAUAGUUGGUGUGGUUUACCUAGAUUUCAGCAAAAUAUUUUAGGAAGUCUCUCAUGCUAUUAUUAUUCUUGUGAACAAGAUAGAUAAAAGCGUGCUAGAGGAUAUUAUAGUUAGUUGGAUUCUGAAUGGUUGAAUUGCUGCAAACAAGGAGUAGUUGUAUUAUUAUUCACUUGAAAAGAGGUAUCUAGUAGAGGGCCUUAGGGAUCUCUCAUUGACCCUGAACUGUUUAGUAAUGACCUAGAUAAAGAUAUAGAUGGCUUCUUUAUUGAAUUUUCAGACAAUGCUAAGCCAGUCCUGACUUAUCUGACUGAUAGGAGACAAAAAGAUUUUGACAGGAUAGAUUGUUACCUGAGUCUAUCAUGAUGAAAGGUAAUGGGAGUAAGAGUAAAAUUUUAUACUUGGAUUCAAAAGUUUCAACAUGGCAACCAUUAUGAUUAUUAUGGUUACAUUAUUAGAGGCAGAGUGUCUUGGACAAGGGAGACUAUAGUCUUGCUCUAUAAUCUAUCCUAAGAGACCACAUCUGGAGUAUUGCAUUCAGUUCUAGAUAAACUGGCAGAUGUCCCAAGGAGAGUGGUCAGGAUGGUGAAUGGGUUCCAAUUCAUACCCUAUAAAGAUCAGUUGUAGAAACUGGGACUAUUUAGUCUGGAGCAAGAUGAUUGACAAGGUACAUGAUAGCUGUCUUCAAGCAUUUAAAGGAUUCUCAUGGAUGCCAAUCUAGAAGAAGAAGAAGAAGAAGAAGAAGAAGAAGAAGAAGAAGAAGAAGAAGAAGAAGAAGAAGAAGAACAACAACAACAACAACAACAACAACAACAACAACAACAACAACAACAAGAACAAGAACAACAAGAACAAGAACAAGAGCAAGAGCAAGAGCAAGAACAAGAGCAAGAACAACAACAAGAACAAGAGCAAGAACAACAACAACAACAACAACAACAAGAGCAAGAACAAGAACAAGAACAAGAACAAGAAGAACAAGAACAAGAGAAUAAGAAUAUGGACUGGCCACCAUGCACUGGUAAGCAUAGAUGGCUUGGAUCCAUAGAGUUGGAUGGAAUAUCCACAUUGAUGAGACAUCAGAUAAUACUAGAGAUUAGUACUUACUGAGUCAGUGUUCAAUUACUUUGCUUUUGCCUAAACUCCACCUUUUAAUCUGUUAAUCAAUACUAGUCACCAAUCAUCUAAGAAUUCUCUGGGGAGAGGAAACCAACUUAGAGUUUUAUAAAUCCUGUAACAUUGUUAAUAAGCAAGGACGAAGGGGAAAAAUCCAAACAAAGUAUUCUAAACCUGUUUUCCUCCUGAGAGCUAGGUUGUUGUUUUGAGAGGCAGGCAAUAGAUUUCUCCAUUAAAUUACCUAAUAAUGAUACAUAGUAGCAAGGAGAGCAAGAAUACAAAUCUGUAUCUUUUCUCAAAGCCUAUUGGAGCUAAUGGUAUCACUUUCAUACAUCAGGAAACAACUUAAAAUAGGUAAAAUUGUUUUAUGUGUGUUUUUCCUCUUUGUCAGAGGAAGGGAUGGUUGGAAAGGGAGCCAGAAGAAGUGUGAAUAAUAAGGCAGGGAGUCCCCAGGAAGUCAACAGGAGACCUGCAAUGGGAAGACCCAAAGAAACAGCUAUUAAAUACCUGGUUAUGUAAGAAAGAGUGAAUUCCAUUUAUUCUGCAUUCAUAAGGAAGGUGGGAUUUUAAAAGAGUCUUGAAAUACUGAAGUCUAUUUGUUCCAAUAAUAAAUAAUAUUUCAUAUUCUAAUAGUUCUAUCUU